CAAGGGAGACGCAGACUCAGUGCUGCGCAGGGAGCCGCACCUGAGUCUCGAUCUCAGGACCCUGGGAUCAUGAUCUGAGCCAAAGGCAGACUCUGAUCCCACUGAACGACCCAAGCAUCCCAGGAGUCCUGAAUCUUU